GAACGAGAAAGUGGAGCAAUCCAUGAGUAAAGUGGCGACCGGGUGAGUAACACGUGACUAACCUACCUUUUAGUGGGGAAUAACCUCGGGAAACCGGGGCUAAUACCACAUAAUGUCUUCGGACCAAAGGAGCAAUUCGCUGAAAGAGGGGGUCGCGGCCGAUUAGCUAGUUGGCGGGGUAACGGCCCACCAAGGCAAUGAUCGGUAGCCGGCCUGAGAGGGCGCACGGCCACACUGGAACUGAAACACGGUCCAGACUCCUACGGGAGGCAGCAGUGGGGAAUUUUGCGCAAUGGGGGAAACCCUGACGCAGCAACGCCGCGUGGAGGAUGAAGCCCCUUGGGGUGUAAACUCCUUUCGAUCGGGACGAUUAUGACGGUACCGGAUGAAGAAGCACCGGCUAACUCUGUG
rnacentral:rRNA from 1 species